AGAGUUUGAUCAUGGCUCAGGAUGAACGCUAGCGGCAGGCCUAACACAUGCAAGUCGAACGGUAACAGAGGGUGCUUGCACCCUGCUGACGAGUGGCGCACGGGUGCGUAACGCGUAUGCAAUCUGCCCUGUACUGGGGGAUAGCCCAGGGAAACUUGGAUUAAUACCCCAUGGUAUUUCGGAUCGGCAUCGAUCUGUUCUUAAAGGAUUCCGGUACAGGAUGAGCAUGCGUCCCAUUAGUUAGUUGGUAAGGUAACGGCUUACCAAGGCUCCGAUGGGUAGGGGGUCUGAGAGGAUUAUCCCCCACACUGGUACUGAGACACGGACCAGACUCCUACGGGAGGCAGCAGUGAGGAAUAUUGGUCAAUGGAGGCAACUCUGAACCAGCCAUGCCGCGUGCAGGAAGACGGCCCUCGAGGUUGUAAACUGCUUUUAUAUGGGAAGAAACUUCUCUACGUGUAGAGAACUGACGGUACCAUACGAAUAAGGACCGGCUAACUCCGUGCCAGCCGCCGCGGUAAU
rnacentral:rRNA from 1 species